CUGUCCGGCAGCCGACUGUAGGCCGCUCUGAGGCCACACACACAACAGCUGGUUAGCCGUAUAGUAGACCCGGAAUCGUACGACCGAUACAACCAACUGUUGCUUAGGUCGGCAACAGUCGAUGCUAUCGAUGAUGUGCAUAACUGUCCCAACACUGAGUGCGGUUCAAUGGUAGUGACCGAAAUGGAUCUGGCCAUUGGUAACUGUACCCGAUGUGGACUGGCAUUUUGUACCAGUUGUUUGAAACCAUAUCAUAGUGGCUAUGACUGUCAACUGGAAACCGAGGAACGGGAGGAAAUGGUAUAGUUAGCUGAGGAAAUGUUACGCAGAGGAAGAGGCGCUCAGCAGAGCCAUAGCCGAAGCGGACAACAAUUGGUUAGACAUAUUGUGAGCCCGGAAUUGUACGACCGAUACGAUCUACUAUUGUUUAAGAUAGCUGUCGGUGCUAUGGAUGAUGUGCAUUACUGUCGAGUUGGUAUGCAAUGGUGCAAUGGUAGUGACCGAAAUCGGCUUAGCCAUCGGUUACUGUGCCCAAUGCGGAACGGGAGGACAACUAAUGGAU